rnacentral:lncRNA from 10 species
UAGAAAUUGAACAGGUUGGGAUAAUAUAGGGUAGCAGUAAUUAUUCUUCUAAUUAAUGGUCCUUUGCUACUUGAAAAAAGAAAAAAGGAAAGAAGUAGUAAAAGUUAUGCAGAAGUUAUGUUUCCUUGUGUCCAUUUGCCCAGCGCUGGAAUCUGUGGAGCAGGAAGCCUGGCAAUUCCAAGAUACGCGAUGAUCUUCAAACAUUCCCGGGAGCCAGUCCUGAGGCUCUGGCUUCAGGGCCUAGUUUCCAUUUAUGCCGCGUUUUUGAGAGUCUAAUACUGUGUCUGGCACAUGGUCCACGCAGGAUGGUCGCUUCCCCCUUGCUGAGAGUUUUGCCUUCAGCCUAUCUGGGCCGCUGGAAAAGAGGAGAAGAAUAAACAAGAGACAAGCAACUACUCCCCUACCGGCGUUCCGUCCUUGUCCUCACUGCCAAAUCCACUCCAAAGCCGAGGAUGGUGAGACUGUGAAGUUGCAAAGAAACACAGAGCCCACCCCCUUAAAGAAUUACGAUAUAUUUAAAGUUUGCCUCUUUCAGGUUUCUCUCCUUGGCUCCUGCCCCUUUCCCCUCCCGGCUCCUUGUCCUUGACUGAACCUCAUGGGACAGAGAACCUCCUGUCCCCCACGAGGCAAGGCGCGAACCCGCAGAGAUCUGGGGUGCCCUUUGGUUCCCUGCGCUGCCCUGGAGGCGUCCAUAGAGGCCUUUGCCGCCAAGGACAGCAAUUGUUUUAUUUUCGAUGGUUGCUCGCCAGGCCUGCGGGUCGCG